rnacentral:rRNA from 1 species
AGAGUUUGAUCCUGGCUCAGGACGAACGCUGGCGGCGUGCUUAACACAUGCAAGUCGAACGAUGAACCCGCUUCGGUGGGGGAUUAGUGGCGAACGGGUGAGUAACACGUGGGCAAUCUGCCCUUCACUCUGGGACAAGCCCUGGAAACGGGGUCUAAUACCGGAUACGACCACUGAGGGCAUCUUCGGUGGUGGAAAGCUCCGGCGGUGAAGGAUGAGCCCGCGGCCUAUCAGCUUGUUGGUGGGGUAAUGGCCUACCAAGGCGACGACGGGUAGCCGGCCUGAGAGGGCGACCGGCCACACUGGGACUGAGACACGGCCCAGACUCCUACGGGAGGCAGCAGUGGGGAAUAUUGCACAAUGGGCGAAAGCCUGAUGCAGCGACGCCGCGUGAGGGAUGACGGCCUUCGGGUUGUAAACCUCUUUCAGCAGGGAAGAAGCGAAAGUGACGGUACCUGCAGAAGAAGCGCCGGCUAACUACGUGCCAGCAGCCGCGGUAAUACGUAGGGCGCAAGCGUUGUCCGGAAUUAUUGGGCGUAAAGAGCUCGUAGGCGGCUUGUCGCGUCGGAUGUGAAAGCCCGGGGCUUAACCCCGGGUCUGCAUUCGAUACGGGCAGGCUAGAGUGUGGUAGGGGAGAUCGGAAUUCCUGGUGUAGCGGUGAAAUGCGCAGAUAUCAGGAGGAACACCGGUGGCGAAGGCGGAUNUCUGGGCCAUUA